rnacentral:lncRNA from 1 species
GGCAGGCCUGGGCGGGCGGGGGUGCCGCGCAGGGCGGAGCGCCGGGCUGGGGAUGAGCUAAGCGGGUUCCGAGCGCCGCGGCGUUCAGCCCCUCGUGUCCCGCCGCCGUCGGGAGGGGACAGGGCGCCCCUCUCCAGGCUCGACCCGCUGCUCGCGCUGGAGGCAGCGGCGAGUAUUUCUCAAACUCUGAGGCUUGUAGAAUUCAGAAAUUAAGACCUGGCAUCAUUUUCAGGGAAAGACCUUCAGUAAUGUCUCUUAAAAGAAUUUGGCAUAUAUUCACCACAUAAUGAUUACGAAUAACAAGUGAUACAAUAUAGCUUUAUUGAAAGAUGUCUUAAGAUACACCCUGGGUCGGGACACCUGGGUGGCUCAGCGGUUGGGUGUCUGUCUGCAUUUGGCUCAGGUGUGAUCCCCGGAUCUGGGAUCAAGUCCCAUAUGGGGCUCCCUGCGUGGAGCCUGCUUCUCCCUCUGCCUGUGUCUCUGCUUCCUUCUCU